CCUUGUUCCGUCUUGUGUUCCAACAAGCUGUCCCAGCGGCUUUUCAGGAUCUCGUAUGCGUCUGAACAUGGAAGUGCGAUUACACGGGAGCCGCCGUCAGUUGGCAGCUCAAUCACCAGCCCCAGACGCAAUAGUGUCUCCAUAGCUUUGUCAAUAGGCAUUUCGAUCUUCGCCUUAAAUUUCUCGUACAUAAACUGCUCACAUGUAUCUCUGAUGCUUACACGAGAUGACACCUGCAUGGGGUUAGCUAGGAAAAGCGAUUAGUGACAUGACUGAAUCUCACCUGUUGUUGCUCAGAAGCGUCAAGGAGAAAAUAAACUGAACCAAAUCCACUUGCUAAUGUCUUCUCAUAGAGCGUUUUAUUGACCAGAAGCUGGUAUCUAUCCCUAGUUUGUUUGUAACCCAGCGCCACACGGAACACAAGUAUUGCUAGUGCAGUAAAGGCAACUAUAUCAAGAAGAAAAGCUUACGGAGAUGAGGCUAAACUCUCAAAUUUGUAGUUCACGACAUAAGCCAACAAACCUAUUACGGUAGCAAUAUCCAACCUUACCUGUGUUAGGGAAGAAAAACAUAACUAUAGAUACUCAGCACACUUACUGGCAGAUCAGGGAUGGGGAUCCUUUCAAAAAUUUUCAGUUGCAAUGGCAUCAUGUCUGAUUUUUCUCUCUCUUUGCUUUGAUCAGCCUCAUCAGUAUAAAGUAGGAUCAGUUCUUGGAAUGCUGAUACCUGAAGAGUAGACUUCCCAAAUAAAACACCAAAAGAAGCUUUUGUUAUCUCCCAGAGAUUGUUGUUACAAGAUUCUCUGCUUGCUGGCGCCCAUAUAUUUGCAAGUGUUAUUCUUGGCAGAAAAUUUGGCCUCACAUAGCCUUCAAGAUCUUUUGUAUCGAUAUCUGACUUUAUUGUUGCUUCUGGCAGAGAAGGGAUUAAACCAGUCCAAGCAAGCAAUCUUCUUAGAAGUCUGCCACGAGGACCAACUGGUGACAGGAUUCCUUCGUAACGAGAGACUGCCCUUUGAGCAGCAAUCCAAAUAGGAAGAUCAGCAUCCGGUAAUUGAUCAGAUCUAAGUUUAUCCCAUGAAGAGUUCUCAAUCAACGAAAGCGAAUUCUCCGCAUAGGUUUGCUCUUUAAGCCAGACUUUAAGUUUUUCAAUCCAGAUCUGAAAUCCCUCAUUCCCUGAUGGAAAGAUUAACUGACCUCAUUGAGCCAUUUCCCCAGCUUCCUCAAGGGCUUGGAGAAGCCAAAGAAGAUAUUUUGCAAGAGUUUAGACUGUAGGUAAUCAAGCUUUUCAACCAACAGUAGGCCCUUCUGCCUCUCCGUUGCAUACCCACGCCUGUGAAGAAAAAGGCAUUGGACUCAGCUGCCUUUUUCCAAUCGACAUAAAUGGGCAAAGUCAAGAGGUAAUCGGUGUUUAGGGCGUAUGUCAAGAGCAGGUCUUGCGCAGAGAGCUCUUCAAAUUGAGCAUUGCGCAGAAGGUUCAUGAAGGAGCGCUGGAAAUGAGUUGCAAAAGCAAUUCUGGAAACAAGUGCGUGUUGAGUUGAGUUAUCAGCAUAGGCACAGUAUAUAGUACUAGUAAGUGGAAGUGAAGAGGAUCCGAUUAAUUGUUACCUGUUCCGUUGUCUGUAAUGCCAAAAAAACCAGCAGUGGUGUUGGCGUUGCCGUUGAGCACGGAUUGGUCAUCGUCAUCGUCAUCAGCGGCAGCGGUGUGUUGGUGAUGGUUGUGGGUGAGCAUGUAAUAGGUUCGCAUUUCCUCGAGCAUCUCCUUGUGCUCUGCGUGGAGGAGGGCGUCCAGGCAUCUGCCAUGCAUAGGGAGUGGGAGGUUGGGAUGGGAAGAGGGAGAGGAGAGCGUCGAGGAGGGCGGGCUUGGAGACGGCGAUGUAGCGUUGGCGCGGGACGUGGAUGCCG
rnacentral:sRNA from 1 species